rnacentral:rRNA from 1 species
UGGGGAAUAUUGCACAAUGGGCGCAAGCCUGAUGCAGCCAUGCCGCGUGUAUGAAGAAGGCCUUCGGGUUGUAAAGUACUUUCAGCGGGGAGGAAGGUGUUAUGGUUAAUAACCACAGCAAUUGACGUUACCCGCAGAAGAAGCACCGGCUAACUCCGUGCCAGCAGCCGCGGUAAUACGGAGGGUGCAAGCGUUAAUCGGAAUUACUGGGCGUAAAGCGCACGCAGGCGGUCUGUCAAGUCGGAUGUGAAAUCCCCGGGCUCAACCUGGGAACUGCAUCCGAAACUGGCAGGCUUGAGUCUUGUAGAGGGGGGUAGAAUUCCAGGUGUAGCGGUGAAAUGCGUAGAGAUCUGGAGGAAUACCGGUGGCGAAGGCGGCCCCCUGGACAAAGACUGACGCUCAGGUGCGAAAGCGUGGGGAGCAAACA